CUCGUUUUGUAACAUUUGAAGUCCACCUGACUGGCUUGCAGCGUAUUACUCGUUCACAGUGGAAAUAACUGACACGUCUGAUUCACUUGUAGGUAUUCUCUGUGUCACAGUCGUGUCACUGUAGACUAUAGAUUGUCGUUGUGAGGAUCGGAAACGUCGUCGACCCAGGACCUGAGCAAGGAUGAAGUUGACUUACGUUAUGCUCGUAAUAGCGUUUUGGGCUCUCGUAAGCUCAGUUCGAGUAAAGACAGUGGACGUUGCUUCAGAAGAGAACAAUGAGUUUCACAUUCGGACGAAGAGAAAUUAUCAUCAGGCAUUGGCAGCGUUUUUUAGGAGACAUACUGCAAAUCGUACAGACGUAGGCCCAUAUUCGUACGGUCGGAAGAAGAGGUCCAUCUCGAAAGACAAUCCACUCCUGACAACCUUUACAGGCAAAGUGGGAAGAUGACUUAUAGAGCAACUUCAUUAUGUUACCCAUCAACAACCUUCCCUAACUUUGAAAUAAAAGGUGCUUGUUGUUCA